UAUUAAUUUUCUAUCAUGCUAAUAUUUUUGUUAAAAGAAUUCAAAUUUUCUGAACCAUAAAAAUAUAAAAUUAAUAUAAUAUCAAGUACUAUUUUAUAAACCUUAAAUAUUAGAUAUGUAGGAAUAGGUAUAUUUCAAAAAAAUGUUUAAAUAUCCGUAUAUUUCAAAUUUUUAGUAAAUAUUUCAUAUUGAUAAAUUUUAGAAAAAACGAAAUCAUAGAGGUCAAGACUUACAACAUCAUUCAAUUAGAUCCUAGUAUAUUAUAGGGAAAUUGCCACAAAUACCACAUUCAAAGUAC
rnacentral:lncRNA from 1 species